rnacentral:rRNA from 1 species
AAAUUGAAGAGUUUGAUCAUGGCUCAGAUUGAACGCUGGCGGCAGGCCUAACACAUGCAAGUCGAACGGUAACAGGAAGAAGCUUGCUUCUUUGCUGACGAGUGGCGGACGGGUGAGUAAUGUCUGGGAAACUGCCUGAUGGAGGGGGAUAACUACUGGAAACGGUAGCUAAUACCGCAUAACGUC